GACAGAGCACGAGUGGAGGAUGGGCAGAGAGAGCAGGAAUCUGAUGCAAGCUCCAUGUUCCAAGCUCCAAACUGUCAGCACAGAGCCUGACAUGGGGCUCGAACCCACAAACCAUGAGAUCAUGACCUGAGCUGAAGUCAGACACUUAAGUGACUGAGCCACCCAGGCACACCUGCUUGGAAAUCUUCUAAUGAAAGGAAACCUAUAUUUCAAGCAUAAAACUCCAUCUACUGCUUUUCAUCAUGGUGUACUGAGAAGACCAGUUGGCAGGGAAAACCGUGGACUCACCCAAGCUCUGUCACGAGGCGUGCUGUCUUGACAGGCAUCACAAUCCCAGACUUCAAGCGAUACUACAAAGCUGUAACCAUCCAGACAGUAUGGUACUGGCACAAGAACAGACACUCAGAUCAAUGGAACAGAAUAGAGAACCCAGAAAUGGACCCACAAACGUAUGGCCAGCUAAUCUUUGACAAAGCAGGAAAGAAUAUCCAAUGGAAUAAAGACAGUCUCUUCAGCAAAUGGUGCUGGGAAAACUGGACAGCGACAUGCAGGAAAAUGAACUUGGACCACUUUCUUAUACCACACACAAAAAUAAACUCAAAAUAGAGGAAGCCAUCAAAAUCCUCAAGGAGAAAGCAGGCAAAACCUCUUUCAUCUUGGCCACAGCAACUUCUUACUCAACAUGUCUCCGGAGGCAAGGGAUACAAAAGCAAAAAUGAACUACUAGGACCUCAUCAAAAUAAAAAGCUUCUGCAUGGUGAAGGAAACAAUCAGCAAAACUAAAAGACAACCAACACAAUGGGAGAAGAUAUUUGUACAUGACAUAUCAGAUAAAGGGUUAGUAUCCAAAAUCUAUAAAGAACUUAUCAAACUCAACACCCAAAACACAAAUAACCUAGUGAAGAAAUGGGCAAAAGACAUGAAUAGACACUUCUCCAAAGAAGACAUCCAGGUGGCAACUGACACAUGAAAAAAUGCUCAACAUCACUCAUCAUCAGGGAAAUACAAAUCAAAACCACAAUGAGAUACCACCUUACACCUGUCAGAAUGGCUCACAUUAACAACUCAGGCAACAACAGAUGUUGGCGAGGAUGUGGAGAAAGAGGAUCUCUUUUGCAUUGUUGGUGGGAAUGCAAGCUGGUGCAGCCACUCUGGGAAACAGUAUGGAGGUUCCUCAAAAAGUUAAAAAUAGAACUACCCUAUGACCCAGCAAUUGCACUACUAGGCACUUAUCCAUGGGAUACAGGUGUGCUGUUUCGAAGGGACACAUGCACCCCCAUGUUUAUAGCAGCACUAUCAACAGUAGCCAAAGUAUGGAAAGAGCCCAAAUGUCCAUUGAUGGAUGAAUGGAUAAAGAAGAUAUGGUAUGUGUGUGUAUACACACACACACACACACACACACACACACACACAGUGGAGUAUUACUCAGCAAUGAAAAAGAAUGAAAUCUUGCCAUUUGCAACGACGUGGAUGGAACUGGAGGGUAUUAUGCUAAGUGAAAUUAGUCAGAGAAAGACAAAAAUCAUAUGACUUCACUCAUAUGAGGACUUUAAGAGACAAAACAGAUAAACAUAAGGGAAACAAAAAUAAUAUGAAAACAGGGAGGAGGACAACACAGAAGAGACUCAUAAAUAUGGAGAACAAACUGAGGGUUACUGGAGGGGUUGUGGGAAGGGGGAUGGGCUAAAUGGGUAAAGGGCACUAAGGGAUCUACUCCUGAAAUCAUUGUUGCACUAAAUGCUAACUAAUUUGAAUGUAAAUUUUAAAAAAAUUAAAAAAUUAAAUUAAAAAAAUAAAAUAAAUAAAUAAAAAGCUUUGUUGAGCACCCAAAUGAAUUAUAUCAAAUAGCUCACACUUUUCAUAGUUCUAUUUUAUCACCACACACAAUCAGAAAAGGUUACUAUGUAUACGCAUGUUUCUUAUGGAAGUAUAAUCAGAUGCUUUGGCCAAUGAUGUUAAACACACUUUGGGAGAUAUAUUACCUCAUUUAAUUCUCAAGACUAAAUAUAAGUAACAAUAUCUCCAUUUUCAAGUUUAAGAAAUAAAGGAUCAGGUAAUUUGAACUACUUGUUCAGAGUCACCCAGUUUUCAGUAGUGAUACUGAGAUUUGAACAAUUUCACUCCAAAGCCCAGGGUUCUCCUUUACCUUUUACUUUACUUUUCCGCCAUAAAUUAAGUAUCCUUAAACUUUUCCUUAAAUAUUUCUCAAAUUCCAUAACAUUGCUAUA